rnacentral:rRNA from 1 species
AUACGGAGGAUCCGAGCGUUAUCCGGAUUUAUUGGGUUUAAAGGGUGCGCAGGCGGCCAUUUAAGUCAGCGGUUAAAUCGUGGGGCUCAACCCCAUUCUGCCGUUGAUACUGGGUGGCUUGAUUGCGGUCGAGGUUGGCGGAAUUCGUUGUGUAGCGGUGAAAUGCAUAGAUAUGACGAAGAACACCGAUUGCGUAGGCAGCUGACCAGAUCGCAAAUGACGCUCAUGCACGAAACUGCGGGGAUCGAACAGGAUUAGAUACCCUGGUAGUCCGCACAGUAAACGAUGAAUACUUGUUUUCGGCGAUAUAAUGUCGGAGGCAAAGCGAAAGCGAUAAGUAUUCCACCUGGGGAGUACGCCGGCAACGGUGAAACUCAAAUGAAUUGACGGGG